rnacentral:rRNA from 1 species
GGGGAAUAUUGCACAAUGGGCGAAAGCCUGAUGCAGCGACGCCGCGUGAGUGAAGAAGGCCUUCGGGUCGUAAAACUCUGUCCUAAGGGACGAUAAUGACGGUACCUUAGGAGGAAGCCCCGGCUAACUACGUGCCAGCAGCCGCGGUAAUACGUAGGGGGCGAGCGUUGUCCGGAAUUACUGGGCGUAAAGGGUGCGUAGGCGGCUCAUUAAGUCAGAUGUGAAAGGCUACGGCUCAACCGUAGUAAGCAUUUGAAACUGAUGAGCUUGAGUUAAGGAGAGGAAAGUGGAAUUCCUAGUGUAGCGGUGAAAUGCGUAGAUAUUAGGAGGAAUACCAGUGGCGAAGGCGACUUUCUGGCCUUUAACUGACGCUGAGGCACGAAAGCGUGGGGAGCAAAC